UAGUGGUUCUUCGAGCGCGUUCGCCUCCUCCUUUUAGGCUGGGCUCUUAAGGGUUAAGGCGAGGGGGGAAGCGUUGGUGGACGCACAGGCCGGCUCAUGUCCUGUCAGUGGCGAAUUCGCAAUUUCACUCCCUUUCUGAGCAUCCUUGCUCCCUACUGCCAGCAAUUUCUUGCUGUGGUCGUACACUCCAGCAACCCAGAUUCUCCACCGUUCCGCAAAUUCUUGCUCAGGUUUCAAGCAAGCCACUGACAGCAGCCUGUCCUAUUUUGGGGAACGUAGCCUCCUCGACUGCGGAUGCAGCUUAACAAUAACGCAGGAAGCAUGUUAAAGAACUGCAGCUAUUUGCCUUGCACGUUGUGUUCAUUUCUCUUUAUAUCUCCAUUUUCUUGCUCCGAUCCCAUAAAGGACAAUCUCUCUUGCAAACAAAACCCCCAGAGCCUAGUUAGCGGGACCGAAGGCUCCCAGACACGGAUUGCCUGCCAGCCACAGCACGAUCAGAUUUGUCGGCAUGGCAGACAGCCCCUGGCAGUCCCAGUCUCCAUUUUCAUCCUCUGAAAUCUUCCAGCCUUAAGUAACACAUUUAGAUUCGCCGUUCCUCUCUCUCUCUCCAUUCUGGAAACUGACGACGCACAUCGCCAAUGCUGUUCAGUUCCAUUCAGCUUACCCAGAGAAAAAAGCAUGUCGGGGUUUUGCUGUCGUCGUCAUCGCCGUUCUGUGUAAAACCUUACCGAAUCCUAGUUGCUUUGCCUGCCUGGAUUGCUUUAGAUACUAAAGAAGGCUCAUUUUAUUCGUGCUUGGAUGUAUCUGAAGAAGUGUUUCUGGAACAGAACCCACCUCUUUCGUUAGGGUGGUGUUUCUGUCGCCAACAUUAUCCAGAAGCUUUUCUUCCAGCGUUUAGAUGCCUUCUUGCUGGAUUUAAAUAGAUGUCUUGACUAACUAAAAAAUAAAUAAAAAAUGCAAACGCAGCAA